rnacentral:rRNA from 1 species
CAGCAGUGGGGAAUAUUGCACAAUGGGCGCAAGCCUGAUGCAGCCAUGCCGCGUGUAUGAAGAAGGCCUUCGGGUUGUAAAGUACUUUCAGCAGUGAGGAAGGUGGGUAUGUUAAUAGCAUACUCAUUUGACGUUAGCUGCAGAAGAAGCACCGGCUAACUCCGUGCCAGCAGCCGCGGUAAUACGGAGGGUGCGAGCGUUAAUCGGAAUUACUGGGCGUAAAGCGCAUGCAGGUGGUUUGUUAAGUUCAGAUGUGAAAGACCCGGGGCCGUCAACCUCGGAAUUGUCAUUUGUAAACUAGGCAAACUAAGAGUACUGUAGAGGGGGUAGGAAUUUCUAGGUGUAGCGGUGAAAUAGCGUAGAGAUCUGAAGGAAUACCGGUGGCGAAGGCGGCCCCCUCGGACAGAUACUGACACUCAGAUGCGAAAGACGUGGGGAGGGCAAACAGGAUUAGAUACCCUGGUAG